GCCGGCAGCCAUAUCACCCUGUAGCCCAAGCCUGGUUGCCCACUGAAGCUAAGCAGGGCUGAGCCUGGUCAGUACCUGGAUGGGAGACCUCCUGGGAAAACUAGGUUGCUGCUGGAA
ensembl:rRNA 5S_rRNA 5S ribosomal RNA